CUCCCACGCACUCAGGCCAGUGCUCAGCACACAGCAAACGCUCGACAGCUCCCGAUGGACGAACGAAUCAGUCGGCCCACCCCGCCAUUAACCAGAGAAGCCGACUGCUUUUGAAGGUCCGGGGAAGGGUUGCGUGGUGCCACGGAGAGACUCGCGCACCCACAAUUUACCCGACCUGACCAGCCAGGUCCCCAGGGCAAAGUUGUGGGCCAGGGCCCGGAUUCUGAGAGCAGUGACCGUGUCUUUUACUUUUACUGCGCACUCCCAAACGCCUAGUACAGUGCUCUGCACCCAGCAGGCACUCAAUUAAUACAGAAGAGGAGGAGAACUCAUGCUAAAGGGGAGUUUCUGCCACAGAUCAUCUCUUACCAAGCUCUGGAACCAGGAGGAUGGCCUAGUACAGAUUCUGCUUACCUACGCAAGGUCAAUGGUGAAGGGGAUAUAAAGCUGGUUCUGAAACCGGC